rnacentral:tRNA from 1 species
CCGCCUAUAGCUCAGCCGGUAGAGCACCUGCCUUUUAAGCAGGGGGUCGUAGGUUCGAUCCCUACUGGGCGGACAA